AUUGAACGCUGCGGCAGGCUUAACACAUGCAAGUCGAGCGAGCGGCGGACGGGUGAGUAAUGCUUAGGAAUCUGCCUAUUCGUGGGGGACAACAUCUCGAACGGGAUGCUAAUACUGCAUACUAUUACAUGAGCCUAAGUCGGCUUAGCUAGUUGGUGGGGUAAAGGUCUACCAAGGCGAUGAUCUGUAGCGGGUCUGCGAGGAUGAUCCGCCACACUGGGACUGAGACACGGCCCAGACUCCUACGGGAGGCAGCAGUUGGGAAUAUUGGACAAUGGGGGGAACCCUGAUCCAGCCAGGCCGAGUGGUUGAAGAAGGCCUUAUGGUUGGAAAGCACUUUAAGCGAGGAGGCGUUACUCGCAGAAUAAGCACCGGCUAACUCUGUGCCAGCAGCCGCGGUAAUUC
rnacentral:rRNA from 1 species